ensembl:lncRNA
CUAAUAUUUGAGGGCAGUUCUUCACUGAAAGAAGAAACACUGGAAUUCAUCGAAACAGUUUAGCACUUAUUUUGAGGUCGCAAAAGGCAAGGUUAGCAGAGGAAUAGAGGCUUCCAGCAGGGAUGAUGGGUCAAUCAGGCGCCUCUAGUCUCAGCAUGAAGCUUCUGUUGCGGCAAAGGCACUUCAGAGAGGCAAGACUCUUCCUCAGAACAAAGAUAGAAAGCCAGGAACAGUGGCCAGAGACUACAAUGUUCUUCAGAUGCUGGAGGAAUACUUGCAAUUUUCUCCACUCCAGAAGCACUGCACGAUCUUUGCUGGAAUGAAGUUCUCACUCCAUCAAACAUACUCCAAGACUUCAUAAAAAGAAAUACUUUCCUUCUUCAAACAAUAAGAAAAGUAAUUUCAGUUAAAAAUAUUUCAUAUUAUUCUUCAUGUUGAGAAUGUGAGUGAUUCUAUAUAGACAAUUAUGGAUUUCCGUGUUGAAAAACACAAUAAUUUUCUAUGGCGAAUCUUUGGUCUUUGCACUUGGUCUUUGCCUGGUGCUCACAGAACAAAUUUCAGAAAUAUAAUCCACUAAAUUACAGACUUUUAAAAAUGGCCACAGAAGAAAUUCUACAGAUCCUAGAAGAGAUGGAUAAAUUAGUCAAUCUCUAAUUUCAAGUGAAGAAUUUUGACAACUGUACUUUGUUAUUUUUUUCCCAUCAGUAUCCACAGGCAAAUUGCACACAUAAAAUAUAAAGAACAUGUGUGACUAAAAAACUAAAUACUUUUUUUUUUUUUUGUCCUUAUCAGUCUUGAUGCAGAUCCUAAAAAUCAAGUUUCCAGCAUCAUUUUUAACAUUCAGAAGUAUCCAAGAGUAUUUUAGAGUAUUCUAUCUGCUGCCAGGCAGCUGACACAGCAAAGGAUGUAUGGGAAACCCACUUCUUCAAAGAUUACAGAAAUGAGUGCAUAAUGACAGCUGAUAUGACCCUAGACAACUUUGUACAGCCAAUCAACACUUCUCCUAUUAUGAGGUUAAGAAACAGUAGGUGAGAUUAUGAUAAAACCUUCUGACAGUAUAGCUUAUAUUACAUAUUAAUUUUUUUAUUUAAAUGUAUCUUACCAAGUUGGGAUGUUAUUAGACAAAGUAAGGCCAUUAAG